rnacentral:misc_RNA from 1 species
CCGAGUUGUGUCUCCCCCGGGAGCCAUCUCCACCCUGUGCGAACUAAAAAUUGUUGCUUUGGCGGGCCGCGGCCCUGCCGCCACCGGCCCCGGCUGGUGAGCGCCCGCCAGAGACCUUUUAAAAUCUUUUUUAACUUGCGUCUGAGCGAGAAAUUAAAUGCGAA